rnacentral:snRNA from 1 species
ACCUCUCCCUUCAUAUUGUUACCAGAGACAAUCUAAGUGAGGCAAUUUAAGUAAUUGGAACCACACAGAAAAAAUCAGCAUGGUCCUGUGCAAGGAUGACAUACAAGUCAUCCUUGUUAAGUGGUCCAUAAUUUU